rnacentral:rRNA from 1 species
AGAACGAACGCUGGCGGCGUGCCUAACACAUGCAAGUCGAACGAGAAAGGGGCUUCGGCCCUGAGUAAAGUGGCGCACGGGUGAGUAACACGUGGGUAACCUGCCUCUGUAGAUCGGGAUAACCUGUCGAAAGACGGGCUAAUACCAAAUAAGACCACGGCUUCUUCGGGAGCCGAGGUCAAAGGUAGACCUCUAUUUAUAAGCUAUCGCUCGGA